rnacentral:lncRNA from 1 species
UCACACAAACAUCUCUACUCAUAGUAAGAAGCAACCGACUUCAUAUUGUGUUGGGCAUCGAUGAUCCUCCCUUAGCCGCAGCCAUAGGUGUACUCAUAGUAAGAAGCAACAAACUUCAUAUUGUGUUGGGCAUCGAUGAUCCUUCCUUAGGCGCAGCCAUAGGUGUGGUUAAUAACAUCGUAGUAACAAUACUUACAAUACCUAUCAUAGCAAUCACUGCUCGACCGGCAGUAUCCGCCGCAACCACUCAUCAAACUCUUACUACCAGUUAGUUUUGACACUAUUAGAAUUUCAGAAAAAAACAAUCAAAUUUUAACUAUUAAAGUUGGUCUGUCAAGAAAAGGGAUUAUAAUUGGUCGUUAAAUUAGUGAAAAUAAUAAAAUAAUUAUUUAAAUUAUAUUAGUGACCAAGGUUGGUUGCUAUUUGGCCAACAAAUUUAACUAAAUGUUGACCGGGCGGGUCACACUUUUUUUUGGUCAAAGAAAUACUGAGAUUAGCAACCAACAUUGAUCGCUAAAGGGGGAACCACUUAUAAAAUAUUAAUAAUUAUAAUAUUAUAUUAAAAAAGUUAUAAAAUAUAAAGAAAUAUAAUUUAAAAUUAGCGACAAAAGUUGGUCGCCCAUUAAAAGGUAAGCAGAUAGAGACCAACUUUGGUCGCUAAUAUGAGACCAAGUUAUAAAAUUUUAGUAAUAAUAUUAUUAUUUCAAAAUAAUAAAAAAAUAUAAAUAAAUAUUAUUCAAAGUUAGCGACCAAAGUUUGUCGCCUGCUAAAAUAAAGACCAACUUUGGUCACUAAUAUGGGACCAAGUUCUGACGUUUAACAAUUAUAUUGUUAAUUUAAAUAUUAUAUAAAUUAUAUAUAAAUUUGAUUUAAAUUUAGCGACCAACUUGGUCGCUAAUUUUAAUUUAUGUAUAAUUAGCGACCAAAGUUGGUCUCUUUUCAAGUCAAUAUUGGUCAAAAUUAAAAAUUACUUUUGUAUUUAUUAUUUAAACAAUAUAAAUAUAAGCCGUAAACAUUUUUGUAGUACAAGGGGUGAAUAGACCAAAAUAUACUCUAACAUGCUAUAUAUACAGUUAGGUAGUACUACGAAGCAUGCGUCUCUCUCUCUCUCUCUGGCUCUCUCUCUCUCUCUCUCUCUCUCUCUCUAUAUAUAUAUAUAUAUAUAUAUGUCAAAGGUUUCGUACAAAUGUUUCAAAUGGUCCUAUGCUCAUAGGAACUUGGCCAACAGAGAGUCAAUGUAAACUUCAAUUGAUUUUCCUAUUUGAUCCUCGAAUAUGCGAUUUUUUAGGUGUUGGUAGGUGGCAGUUUCAUUCUUUAAUCCAAAUGACAUUACUUAUAUAUAUUUAUUUAUAAUAGCUAUAUUCGAUAUAGCUUUAUAUAUUUAAUAUUAUACUAUAUCUACAUAUAUAUACUAUACACUUAGUAUAUAUAAUAUACUAUACUAUAUAUACUAUUGGCCAUUUAAGAAAUUGAUACUCUUUAGGUGUAUGUGGUUUAACCCAAAUUCAACAAGAGGUACAAGAGUACACAAUCAAUACAUUAUAAUUGAGGUUAAUCAUAGGAGGGAGUAUGAUUGUUAUGAUCCUUUCGUAAUUACACAUAAUGAUAGACAAGUGUAUUAUGCUCCUCAUCUAUUGUGACAACAUAAGUCUAAUUGGUGGGUUGCAAUAAAAACAAAGCAUGUAGAUAUGAUGAAAGCCGAGAAUGUGUUAGAUGUUUCAUAUCAAAACGAUAUCUCCGGUGUUCACCAAAUAGUGGACGACGUUUUAGAAAAUGAUUUGAAACAUCCUGAAUACAUAUUGGAAGAAGUUGAUAUAAAUGAAGUAAAAAUUAUUGAAAACGAGGAAGAAGAGUCAACCGAUGAAGCUCAAACUAGUGAGGAAGAAUAAUUCUCAUUUAUAGCUAAUUUAUUUAUAUGUUAGAAUCUAAAUAUCUAUUAUAUUAUGCAGAUGACAUGCAUGAGUCAAGGUAAAAAUGAUCCUACUGGUUCUCGGGGUCAAGAAAAGGCAAGGAAACUAAAUAGAAGGGUAAAAGAAAAUACUCAAUCUUUCUCACCCUCUUCAAAGAUAGGAUAAGCAAAUAUCAUAUCUUCAAGUUGUAUAUGUAUUUGUUUCUCUAAUCCCAAGUUAAACUUUUCGAGUUUACUUUAGUGUGACCUUCUUCUACCACCGCGUUCAUCAGUUGUACCACUUCUCCUGAGCUAAAUUCAUCGAAGUUGACAGACGACCCCAAGCAGGACAGUGCAUCAGCCUCACUUGUUUGAUCUUGGGGUACAUCUUGCAGAGUUAAUUUCUUGAAUUAGUGCAGGGUCACCUAUAAUUUGUCCAAGUACAUCCGCAUGUAUUCCUCUUUCACUUCGAAUGUUCUAUUAACUUGAUUUAUGACAAGGAGGGAGUCUCAUUUUUCUUUGAUCACUUCGCCCCCAAGGCUACUAGCAAGUUCUACACCUGCAAUCAUGACCUCAUACUCAACUUCAUUGUUAGUGAAUUUUAAAGUUCUAAUAGACUUCCUAAUUAGGCUUCUACCAUGCCGUUUUAAUACGAUACCGAGCUUGAAGCCUUUUGCAUUGGAUGCACCAUUGGUGAAUAGGGUCCACAUCCCCAAAUUAGUCCUCGAGGUGAGCAGUAAUUCCUGUUAUACUUCAGGUAUAAGGACCGCGUAAAUUUGUCCAUGGAGUCUGCUGAAAUCUAUGAUUUUAUGGCAGUUGGGGCCGGUACUCGAUGUCCUACCCACUGAUCUCUAUGACCUAUUUGUCUAACACGGCCCGAGAUUUCAGAUUAUAUAUAAUAUUCCUUAGUGGGUAAGAGGUCGCGACACGGAUAUGGUGGCAUUGGAAGUGUGAUUUUAGCUUCCUUGAAGCACUUAGCAAAGCGAGUGCUAACAUUUCCAAGUGAGGAUAUCUUGAUUCGGCAUCGUCUAGAGUUUUGGUGAUAUAGUAAAUAGGAAAUAACAUACCUUCUUCCUCUCGGACUAAGGCAUCAAUUACUGCUACCUCAAAAAUCGCCAAGUAGAGGUAUAACUGUUCGUCUUCCUUCAGAGUGUGAAGUAGAGGGGGGCUUGACAAUAUCGUUUGAGUUCUUUCAAAGCUUGCUGGAAUACCCAACUCAAAGAGAAAUUAUUCUUUUUCUUCACUAGUGAGAAGAAUCAAUAUCUCUUGUCCAAGGACCUCGAGAUGAACCUUCCCAAUGCCGAUAUAUGCGCGAUCAAUCUUUGGACCGCCUUGAUGUUGUCCACUAUGGUGAUGUCCUCUAUGGCCUUUAUUUUGUUGUAGUUGAUCUAUAUCCCCAAUUUGGAUACCAUGAACCCAAGGAAUUUACCCAAACUAACCCGAAUGAGCACUUCUUCGGGUUUAGCUUCAUGUUGUAUUUUCUUAGUAUGUCAAAGGUUUCGUACAAAUGUUUCAAAUGGUCCUAUGCUCAUAGGAACUUGGCCAACAGAGAGUCAAUGUAAACUUCAAUUGAUUUUCCUAUUUGAUCCUCGAAUAUGCGAUUUUUUAGGUGUUGGUAGGUGGCAGUUUCAUUCUUUAAUCCAAAUGACAUUACUUUAUAGCAGUAGGUGCCGAAUUUGGUUAUGAAAGAAUUCUUUUCUUAGUCAUCAGGGUCCAUUCGAAUUUGGUUGUACCCGGGUAAGCAUUAGAAAAAUUGUGUAUCUCGUGCUCGGACGUCGUGUCAUUCAUUGUAUCAAUAUUAGGCAAAGGGAAUGAAUCCUCAGGGCAUGUUUUGUUUAGUUCUUUAUAAUCCAUACACAUCUUUAGUUUAUUUCCUUUUUAGGUACUACCACAAUGUUAGCUAGCCAAUCAGGGUAUUUAACUUUUCGGACGGAUCCUAUAUGUUGAAGUUCGGAUACCUCAUCCUUGAUGAACUCCUGUUUGAUCUUGGACAAUGAUCUCCUCUUCCGUUUAAUCGGAUGGAACUUCAGGUCCAAACUCAGCUUAUGAGUGGUUACCUCCGGUGGGAUCCCUGCUAUGUCUAGGUGGGACCAAGAGAAACAAUCAGUGUUGGCUAUAAUAAAAUCAAUUAUUUUUUUCCUUUGCUCGAUGGUUAACUCCGUGCCCAGGUAUAUCUUUCGAUCUGGUAGAUGCUCGAUUAAUAUGACUUUCUCAAAUUCUUCAACAAUUGAUUUUGUGGCUUCGGUCUCAUCAAUAGCUAUGAAUGAUCUUGGGAUGUCGUAAGCAUCAUCCUUGUCUACUCAUCGUUCUUCUUGUUUCUCCGAUUCGGUUGAGGGUGGUAUCAGUGAUUGAUAUUUAAUCUCUUUCUUUUUUGUCGGUUUUGUGUUACUUGAUGUCGAAACUGCGAGCAUCGGGAUUGCCUCAUCAGUAGUAAACAUCUACAUUAUGGCCGGUUGUUCUCCGUAGACCAUUUUGACUCCCUCGGGUGCAGGAAAUUUUAACACUUGGUGCAAGGUCGAGGAUACCGCCCUCAUUUGUGGACCCAUGGCUUUCCCAAUGGAGCGUUGUACCUCAUGUCCCCUUCGAUCAAGUAAAACUUUGUUUCCUGGAUUGUCCCGACUAUGUUUAUUUUCAAAGUUAUCUCCCCUUUCAUGGUCUUACAUGCCAUGUUAGACCCAUUCAGUACCUGGACUACCGAUACAAUUUAAUCUGGUAAUCCUAACUGCUCUACGACCGUUAAUCGGAUGAUGUUGGCCGAGCUACCUGGAUCAAUCAACAGAGGUAUAACAUGAGAUUUAUUAAUAAGUAUAUAUAUAUUACUGGUGCAUCAUUUUGAACUUCGAAGAUUGUUGUAGCAUCUUUUAUGAUUCCAACUUCCAAAGGUUGUCGUAAUUGGACUUUCCUUUUUUUUUUUUUUCCUCUUGUUAAGUCUAAAUAAAAAUUACUCUUUCCAUUUCAUGUUAUGUGAACCUAUUUCUUUUUUGGUCCGUGUCGAAAAGAAUGACCUCUUUCCUUAUUUGAAAACAAUUUACUUUUAUGCAAUGAUUUAUAGCUACACAAAAUAUAUGUGACUCAUUUUACACCACAAGUUUAAAAGUCUUAUCUCUUUUCUUAAACUCCGUGUCUAAUCAAAUAGAUUUACAUAAAUUGAAACAGAGGGAGUGUCAUAUAGCGCAACCCCUUACCUAUGAUUAGAUGCUUGCUUCAUUAAUCAUGUAGGUAUGAGGGGUUCGUUUGUUAAUGCCAUGGGAAAGCUGGCUUUAUAAUUUCAGUUAUGUAGUUAUCCCUCUUCUCUCAACACCCCUCCCCCCUCCUGGGGGCAUACCCCAUAAAAAGCUGGCUUCAAGAUAUGUAGUAUCUUUGCGUGGGAUCGUGAACAUGACAAAGCUGUAGUAACGAGGAAACCAAGAUAUUGAUAAGCUAAAUGAUAAUGGUGUUUUACUCAAAAUUAGCAGUACAGAUACAACAGAAACAGUUAAUGUAGGCCAACACGACCCAUCUUGAUGUUACAUUCGACAUUGUCCUGAUCUAAAUAGAAGCAGAACUUAGUCGUUUUAUUUUUUCAAUUAAGAAAAAACUGAAACGGGAAAAGUAAAACACAAUAACAAAGACAAUAAACUAUCACACAAACAUCUCUACUCAUAGUGAGAAGCAACAGACUUCAUAUUGUGUUGGGCAUCGAUGAUCCUCCCUUAGCCGCAGCCAUAGGUGUGGUUAAUAACAUCGUAGUAACAAUACUUACAAUACCUAUCAUAGCAGUCACUGCUCGACCGGCAGUAUCCGCCGCAACCACUCAUCAAACUCUUACCACCAGUUAG